GGGAAGGAGGGAACGAAGGAGGGACUGGAGGGGGCAUUCAUGCCAAGGUAAUUGUGAUGUAACUUAAGAAAAACUCUUUGAACCAAGUUUGAGCUCAAUUUGAACAAAGUUUGA